rnacentral:rRNA from 1 species
GACAGAGGUGGCGAGCGUUGUUCGGAAUCACUGGGCUUAAAGGGCGCGUAGGUGGUAGUGUAAGUCUGAGGUGGAAUCCUGCGGCUUAACUGCAGAACUGCCUUGGAAACUGCAUUACUUGAGUCAGUGAGGGGAGGGUAGAAUUCCCGGUGUAGCGGUGAAAUGCGUAGAUAUCGGGAGGAAGGCCUGUGGCGAAGGCGGCCCUCUGGCGCUGGACUGACACUGAGGCGCGAAAGCGUGGGUAGCAAACAGG